AUUUGGGGAACAUAAUUUUUGAGUCCUCCUCGUCUUCAGCACAAGCCUUGCCAUUUGGCAAGGUUGGCUGGGAGUAAUUUUUGCUUAUGAGGGGCUUCGGCAGGCAAGGGUCUUCGCGGCUGGGAGUGAUUUUCGCGCGAAGACCUUCGGCAGGUGGAGCCAUGGUGGGCUCGGCGUGAUCUUGAGCCAGGCUUCAUUAGCUGGAUUUUUAGACUUUUGGCAAAAUUUUGAGAGCCCCAUCCUCCUUCAGCCGCCAUCUUCUGAAGUAGGUUUGUUGGGAGGGGACUCCCUAUAACUUUGGUUUAAGCAUCGACGUGAGUCUUCGUGAGUCCUCGUAGAGCACCGUGAGUUCCCGGCAUGAAUAGGGCUCUGGCAAGGCUGUUUCAAACUUUGAAUUUUGAAUUUCGAAUUUUUGGAGCAGGUACACGAAUUUUUCGAAUUUCUGUGAUGAUAUUGUACAUUGUCAUGGUGCAAAUAUUAUUCAUAACAAACAUGAGGAAAUUAAUUUUCUUCUUCUUUUAUUCGUUUUCGAUUUCAGGCCUUCCCACAAGGCUUCCCACUUGUUGCUCAUGUUUCAAGGGCAAUCCUGAAUGUGACUCAAGAUUAUAAGGAAAUGGAAAAAAUGCAACUCAAUUAUUUUCCAGAUGAAACCAAAUGUCAAGACGCAAGUCCCACAUUCUCUUCAGACAAUUCUAGUCUAAGUGUGUACACUUUCGGAGGCCUCUUCAUCAUCACAACAGUGAUUUCGAUUUCUUCAUGGUUGAUUUAUAUAGUUUGUUUCCUCCACAAAUACUGGCCUGCUUUGAAUUCCAUCCAUCGAGAAGCCUCCCCCUUGUCAAAAUUAGUGUUUUGACCGAAAAGACAGCACUCUGUUUUCUUUAGAGCAAACCAGUCAAGCUACUCAUGCACAUGCUGCUUCUGCAACAAAUGCUAGAAGAGCUAAUGCUGCUUCAUCAGAUGCUAGGGACAACAUGCUGAGCAAUGCAAUGUCUUCCAACCAAGGAUUGGACAAUGUCGCCAUAGACGACGAAGAAGAUAUACCUCUACCUUCUAUGGAUUUUGGGCGCUUCUCCUAUGGUUGUGCAUGAUUUCUGAUAUAUGUGCUCUACCUACUGAAGUUCUGUUUAAGAAAGUAUACUUCACAUAAUGAAUGCUGGGAUUUUUUUUUUUUCUUCAA